rnacentral:rRNA from 1 species
CCUACGGGAGGCAGCAGUGGGGAAUAUUGCACAAUGGGGGAAACCCUGAUGCAGCGACGCCGCGUGAGUGAAGAAGUAAUUCGUUAUGUAAAGCUCUAUCAGCAGGGAAGAAAAUGACGGUACCUGAGCAAGAAGCCCCGGCUAACUACGUGCCAGCAGCCGCGGUAAUACGUAGGGGGCAAGCGUUAUCCGGAUUUACUGGGUGUAAAGGGAGCGUAGACGGCAGUGCAAGUCUGGAGUGAAAGGGGGGGGCUCAACCCCCGGACUGCUCUGGAAACUGUACGGCUGGAGUGCAGGAGAGGUAAGUGGAAUUACUAGUGUAGCGGUGAAAUGCGUAGAUAUUAGGAGGAACACCAGUGGCGAAGGCGGCUUACUGGACUGUAACUGACGUUGAGGCUCGAAAGCGUGGGGAGCAAACAGGAUUAGAUACCCCAGUAGUC